rnacentral:lncRNA from 1 species
CCUUCCUCUCUACCUCAUCAAAUCUAUCUCUAUUGAGGUCCGUUUGUGUGGCUUACGAUCUAUUUAAUUUCCCCAGAAGUUUGUACAUUACAGUGCCCACAAUGUGUUCCCUCCAACUCAAUUGCACUCUUCUUUGAUAAUCAGAAUCCAUGCUCCACAUAUUAAAAUAUCUGAAUCUUGGAAUAGCCUAGUGUGUUCUUUCCCAAUUAAUUAUUGCU